GACGAACGCUGGCGGCGUGCUAAACACAUGCAAGUCGAACGGUGAAGCGCCUUCCUUUUUGGUGGGUGUGGAUGAGUGGCGAACGGGUGAGUAACACGUGAGUAACCUGCCCCCUUCUUCUGGAUAACCGCAUGAAAGUGUGGCUAAUACGGGAUAUUCUGGGUCUGUCGCAUGAUGGGUCUGGGAAAGAUAUUGUUUCGGUGGGGGAUGGGCUCGCGGCCUAUCAGCUUGUUGGUGGGGUGAUGGCCUACCAAGGCGGUGACGGGUAGCCGGCCUGAGAGGGUGGACGGUCACACUGGGACUGAGACACGGCCCAGACUCCUACGGGAGGCAGCAGUGGGGAAUAUUGCACAAUGGGCGCAAGCCUGAUGCAGCGACGCCGCGUGAGGGAUGGAGGCCUUCGGGUUGUGAACCUCUUUCGCCAGUGAAGCAGGCCUGCCUCGUUUGUGGGUGGGUUGACGGUAGCUGGAUAAGAAGCGCCGGCUAACUACGUG
rnacentral:rRNA from 1 species